AUGGUAGGAUAGAGGCCUACCAUGGUUUUAACGGGUAACGGGGAAUUAGGGUUCGAUUCCGGAGAGGGAGCCUGAGAAACGGCUACCACAUCCAAGGAAGGCGGCAGGCGCGCAAAUUACCCAAUCCCGACACGGGGAGGUAGUGACAAUAAAUAACAAUAUGGGGCUCUUACGAGUCUUGUAAUUGGAAUGAGUACAAUUUAAAUCUCUUAACGAGGAACAAUUGGAGGGCAAGUCUGGUGCCAGCAGCCGCGGUAAUUCCAGCUCCAAUAGCGUAUAUUAAAGUUGUUGCAGUUAAAAAGCUCGUAGUUGAAUUUCGGGAUUUAUCCGUCGGUCGGGCUUUUGGGUCUGUACUGGCGUGAUGGAUUCCUACCCUCUGAAUAACCGGCAUGUCAUUAAUUUGGUGCGCCGGGGAAGCAGGACUGUUACCUUGAAAAAAUUAGAGUGCUUAAAGCAGGCUUAUGCCUGAAUACAUUAGCAUGGAAUAAUGAAAUAGGACGGCAUGGUUCUAUUUUGUUGGUUUCUAGGAUCACCGUAAUGAUUAAUAGGGAUAGUUGGGGGCAUUAGUAUUCAAUUGUCAGAGGUGAAAUUCUUGGAUUUAUUGAAGACUAACUUCUGCGAAAGCAUUUGCCAAGGAUGUUUUCAUUAAUCAAGAACGAAAGUUAGGGGAUCGAAGACGAUCAGAUACCGUCGUAGUCUUAACCAUAAACUAUGCCGACUAGGGAUCGGACGAUGUUAAUUUUUUAAUGACUCGUUCGGCGCCUUACGGGAAACCAAAGUGUUUGGG
rnacentral:rRNA from 1 species